UACCCAUCUAGAGCGGCUGAGAGACCUGGCUCCGCGACGCCGCAGCAACACUCAUGUGAGUUCGUGCUACAGCCAGGACCGAUGGAAG
rnacentral:ncRNA from 2 species